CAGCAGCCGCGGGGAAUACGAGGGGGGCAAGCGUUGUUCGGAUUUAUUGGGCGUAAAGGGUGCGUAGGCGGUUUGGCAAGUCUUGUGUGAAAUCUUCGGGCUCAACCCGAAGCCUGCACGAGAAACUACCGGGCUUGAGUAGUGGAGAGGUGAGUGGAAUUUCCGGUGUAGCGGUGAAAUGCGUAGAUAUCGGAAGGAACACCUGUGGCGAAAGCGGCUCACUGGACACUAACUGACGCUGAGGCACGAAAGCUAGGGGAGCAAACAGGAUUAGAUACCCCAGUAGUCCCUGUCUCUUAUU
rnacentral:rRNA from 1 species